rnacentral:tRNA from 1 species
AGGGGUACAGCUCAGUGGUAGAGCACAUGUCUGAAAUGUAGAAGGUCCUGGGUUCAAUCCCCAGUACCUCCA